rnacentral:tRNA from 1 species
GGAAGGGUGGCCGAGCGGUUGAAGGCACAGACCUGGAAAGUCUGCAGACUCCAAAAGGGUCUCGAGGGUUCGAAUCCCUCCCCUUCCG